UCACUUACCUGCAAGGGAGUACUGUGUUCAAGACACGGUUCACCCAGUGGUGAGCGUUAGCCAUUGCAUUCUCGGCUGUGCUGAAGCUAGUGAAUUUCCAAUGUGAAAUCUUUGCAUAAUCUUAUGGUAGUGGGGAUCUGCGUCUGCGCCUCCCCUGA